GAUUUAUGGCAGAAAAUAAAUCCAAGUUCAGCCAUUGGAUUCAGAAAUUGUUUUCCUCAUCAAAAAUAAAGAUGCUGAGGCCUGGACACUGACUUCAAGGCCACAGGCUGAACUGGACUCCUGGAGGAGAGUCGCUUUCAUCAUUUCUCUCACUGGUAUUGACAGAACUUUGGAACAAGUGAAGGAAGUUUCUGAUGAGGACUAAAG
rnacentral:lncRNA from 1 species